UACGAAGGGGGCUAGCGUUGCUCGGAAUCACUGGGCGUAAAGCGCACGUAGGCGGAUUGUUAAGUCAGGGGUGAAAUCCUGGAGCUCAACUCCAGAACUGCCUUUGAUACUGGCGAUCUAGAGUCCGGGAGAGGUGAGUGGAACUGCGAGUGUAGAGGUGAAAUUCGUAGAUAUUCGCAAGAACACCAGUGGCGAAGGCGGCUCACUGGCCCGGUACUGACGCUGAGGUGCGAAAGCGUGGGGAGCAAACAGG
rnacentral:rRNA from 1 species